UUGGAGGGCAAGUCUGGUGCCAGCAGCCGCGGUAAUUCCAGCUCCAAUAGCGUAUAUUAAAGUUGUUGCAGUUAAAAAGCUCGUAGUUGAAUUUCGGGGUUAGUAGGUUGGUCAUGCCUCUGGUAUGUACUGAUCUCACUGAUUCCUCCUUCCUUAUGAACCGUAAUGCCAUUAAUUUGGUGUUGCGGGGAAUUUGGACUGUUACUUUGAAAAAAUUAGAGUGUUUAAAGCAGGCUAACGCUUGAAUACAUUAGCAUGGAAUAAUGAAAUAGGACGUUCGAUCUUAUUUUGUUGGUUUCUAGGAUUGACGUAAUGAUUAAUAGGGAUAGUUGGGGGCAUUAGUAUUCAAUUGUCAGAGGUGAAAUUCUUGGAUUUAUUGAAGACUAACUACUGCGAAAGCAUUUGCCAAGGAUGUUUUCAUUAAUCAAGAACGAWWKUUAGGGGAUCGAAGACGAUCAGAUACCGUCGUAGUCUUAACCAUAAACUAUGCCGACUAGGGAUCGGAUGAUGUUAAUUUUUUAAUGACUCAUUCGGCGCCUUACGGGAAAC
rnacentral:rRNA from 1 species